rnacentral:tRNA from 1 species
UAAACUCUAAUAGUUU